rnacentral:rRNA from 1 species
GAUGAACGCUGGCGGCGUGCCUAAUACAUGCGAGUCGAGCGAACGGACGAGAAGCUUGCUUCUCUGAUGUUAGCGGCGGACGGGUGAGUAACACGUGGAUAACCUACCUAUAAGACUGGGAUAACUUCGGGAAACCGGAGCUAAUUCCGGAUAAUAUUUUGAACCGCAUGGUUCAAAAGUGAAAGACGGUCUUGCUGUCACUUAUAGAUGGAUCCGCGCUGCAUUAGCUAGUUGGUAAGGUAACGGCUUACCAAGGCAACGAUGCAUAGCCGACCUGAGAGGGUGAUCGGCCACACUGGAACUGAGACACGGUCCAGACUCCUACGGGAGGCAGCAGUAGGGAAUCUUCCGCAAUGGGCGAAAGCCUGACGGAGCAACGCCGCGUGAGUGAUGAAGGUCUUCGGAUCGUAAAACUCUGUUAUUAGGGAAGAACAUAUGUGUAAGUAACUGUGCACAUCUUGACGGUACCUAAUCAGAAAGCCACGGCUAACUACGUG